rnacentral:misc_RNA from 1 species
GAUGAAGAACGUAGCGAAAUGCGAUACGUAAUGUGAAUUGCAGAAUUCAGUGAAUCAUCGAGUCUUUGAACGCACAUUGCGCCCCCUGGUAUUCCGCGGGGCAUGCCUGUCCGAGCGUCAUUGCUGCCCUCAAGCACGGCUUGUGUGUUGGGCCUCCGUCCUCCUCCCGGGGGACGGGCCCGAAAGGCAGCGGCGGCACCGCGUCCGGUCCUCGAGCGUAUGGGGCUUCGUCACCCGCUCUUGUAGGCCCGGCCGGCGCUUGCCGACACAUCAAUCUUUUUUCCAGGUUGACCUCGGAUCAGGUAGGGAUACCCGCUGAACUUAAGCAUAUCAAUAAGCGGAGGA